GACGAACGCUGGCGGCGUGCUUAACACAUGCAAGUCGAACGGAAAGGCCCUGCUUUUGUGGGGUGCUCGGGUGGCGAACGGGGGAGUGACACGUGAGUAACCUGCCCUUGUCUUUGGGAUAACUUCAGGAAACUGGGGCUAAUACAGGAUAGGAUAUCCUGCUGCGUGGUGGGGGUUGGAAAGUUUCGGCGGUUGGGGAUGGACUCGCGGGUUAUCAGCUUGUUGGUGGGGUAGUGGCUGCCCAAGGCUUUGACGGGUCGCCGGCCUGAGAGGGUGACCGGCCACAAUGGGACUGAGAGACGGCCCAGACUCCUACGGGAGGCAGCAGGGGGGAAUAUUGCACAAUGGGCCGACGCCUGAUGCAGCAACGCCGCGUGCGGGAUGACGGCCUUCUGGUUGUAAACCGCUUUCGCCUGUGACGAAGCGUGAGUGACGGUAAUGGGUAAAGAAGCACCGGCUAACUACGUG
rnacentral:rRNA from 1 species